GGGUCGUUAGCUCAGUUGGGAGAGCACCUCCCUUACAAGGAGGGGGUCGGCGGUUCGAUCCCGUCAUCACCCACCA
rnacentral:tRNA from 1 species